GACGAACGCUGGCGGCGUGCUUAACACAUGCAAGUCGAGCGGAAAGGCUCCUUCGGGGGUACUCGAGCGGCGAACGGGGGAGUAACACGUGAGUAAUCUGCCCUGCGCUCUGGGAUAGCCACCGGAAACGGUGAUUAAUACCGGAUAUGACCGCUACCCGCAUGAGUUGGUGGUGGAAAGUUUUUCGGCGCAGGAUGUGCUCGCGGCCGAUCAGCGUGUUGGUGAGGUAAUGGCUCACCAAGGCUUUGACGGGUAGCUGGCCUGAGAGGGUGACCGGCCACACUGGGACUGAGACACGGCCCAGACUCCUACGGGAGGCAGCAGUGGGGAAUAUUGCACAAUGGGCGCAAGCCUGUUGCAGCAACGCCGCGUGCGGGGUGACGGCCUUCGGGUUGUAAACCGCUUUUAGUAGGGAAGAAGCCUCUUGGGGUGACGGUGCCUGCAGAAAAGGGACCGGCUAACUACGUGCCAGCCGCCGCCGUAAAAC
rnacentral:rRNA from 1 species